UUUAAUUAUCUUCAUUCUAUGUUCCUGUUCUCUCGUAAGGAACUCAUCAUUGGCUGAAACCUACUUGUGGUUCUAAAAAUCUCCCCCGAGGAUCCUGACUCUGGGCUCUGGUAGACACUUCACAUAACCAGGUCCUCAGAAUCAAGCCUGUGUCUGUCCCAACUCCACACCCAAAUUCCUGAGCAUGGUGCAGCAUAGACGUUCUCAUGAUUAAGAUUUCUAGGCUUUUAUCUGACUUCUUUUUGUGAAUCGCCUAUAAUUCCUCUUCUUUUCAGUUAUAUUGAUUCAAACCCCUGGCAGCACCUCCUGGCCGCGCCACCAGAGUGAGCCUCUCCAGACCACAGCGGGACCCAAUUUCAGACAAAUGUUUCCCCCGUGUAACCGCGGCUGUGGGUCCUCCAGCUGGGGACACGGAACACAGAAACACGCGUGGCAGCAAAAGGAGGUACCUCUGGCAGCAGCUUCCCUUGGUGUCGUGUUCCCAAAGCACGUGCCGCUGAGUGGGGCAGGGCUGCGACAGGGGCCCAGGGUGCUCCUAUGCAAAGCCCAUAUAACCUGGGCAGAGGGCCAGGCCAGGCUCCCAGUGGAAGCUGCCUCCACGCCAAGGCACAAGGAGAAGCCAGCAAGGUGACACUCAAAUCACCAGCCAUGCCAACAUGAAGAAACAGAUGUGGCUCCAGGAAACCAGUGGAUGACCCGUGGGACUCAGAAACAACCCAAGACGCUAAACCACACUCAGUAGAAACAUUUGGUUCUUGUUGCUGAGACGCCUGGAGGUUACUAUACCUGACAGCAUCUUCACCAGGAGUAGACACUAUUUCAGGAAGCCACUUUCUUUGCUCGUCUGUAAGAACCAACUCCUCUUCUGUUCUGGUUUGAUCAAGAAAUUGCAGCACUUCAGUCCCAUCUUCAGACUCCACGUCUUAUCCUAGUUCUCUUGCUGUUUCUACCACAUCUGCAGUCACUUCCUCUACUGAAGUCUUGAGUCCCUCAAAGCCAUCCAUGAGAGUUGGAAUCCACUUCUUCCAAACUCCUGUUAAUGUGGAUAUUUGUCCUCCUCCCACGAAUCAUGAAUGUUCUUAAUGGUAUUCAGAAUGGGGAACACUUUCCAGAGAUUUCCAAUUUAAUUUGCCCAGAUCCGUCAAAGGAAUCACCUUCUACAACAGCUAUAGGCUUACAAAAUGUAUUUCCUAAAUAAUAAGACUUGGGAGUCAAAAUCAGACCUCAGUCUAUGAGCUGCAGAAGGGAUGCUGUGUUAGCAGCCAUGAAAACAACACUGAUCUCCUUGUACAUCUCCAUCAGAGCUCUUCGGUGACAGGUGCAUGGUCAAUGAGCAGUGAUAUUUUGAAAGGAAUAUUUUUUUUAUGA